rnacentral:rRNA from 1 species
GACGUAGGGCGCAAGCGUUGUUCGGAUUUACUGGGCGUAAAGGGCGCGUAGGCGGUCAGCACAAGUCAGUUGUGAAAUCUCCGGGCUUAACUCGGAAAGGUCAACUGAUACUGUGCGACUAGAGUGCGGAAGGGGCAACUGGAAUUCUCGGUGUAGCGGUGAAAUGCGUAGAUAUCGAGAGGAACACCUGCGGCGAAGGCGGGUUGCUGGGCCGACACUGACGCUGAUGCGCGAAAGCCAGGGGAGCGAACGGG